ACUGUGCAAGGUGUGAUAGUUUGGGAAGGAAGUGAUUUUUUCAAGAAAGUUAUAGCAAACCCAAUCAGACUUUAGGUUUGAAUACUGACAUUUGGUAUAGCCAUUAGAAAGACGAUACGCCUCCGGGAACACACAGGGUUAAAAUCAGAGAACCCCUGGGGAAAGCUCUCUUUCUUCCGCCCUUGGAAAGAGCAGGGAUACCCUCUGCUGGACCAGGAAAAAUGCAUAUGCAUUUGUAUGAUGGUGCUCUGGCCGAGGAAGGAGUGGAUGCACCCCCUGGCCUGGUUUGAAGACUCGCCAUGACCUAUGAGGAGUCUGAAUGGAAUGGGAGCCAGCCAGCUGAAGUGACUGAGACAGAGAACGGGAAACUCUCGAGGUUUUUCCCUGAGGGUAAAGAGCUGAGCCUGCACUCCAGUGACAGACUGUCCCUGCUCUGCCUUCUGAUGGUUGACCAGAGAGAGCUUCUAGCUGUUCCUAUGGGAACAAGGACUCGGCAUCUACUGUUUGCAAUGGGGUGAUGAACUGGGACAGCACCUGCUGCUUCGGAUUGCUACAGCAGCAUGGAAAACUCCUGCCGGAUCCUACCAUCCAGCUGAUGACUUUUUAUUAAAGAGUUGAUCACUUUAAUAAAGAGCUGAAUAUUAAUAAAGGCAUAUGCCCUGUACUUUUCAGUUUCA